rnacentral:rRNA from 1 species
AUUGAACGCUGGCGGCAGGCCUAACACAUGCAAGUCGAACGGUAACAGGAAGAAGCUUGCUUCUUUGCUGACGAGUGGCGGACGGGUGAGUAAUGUCUGGGAAACUGCCUGAUGGAGGGGGAUAACUACUGGAAACGGUAGCUAAUACCGCAUAAUGUCGCAAGACCAAAGAGGAGGACCUUCGGGCCUCUUGCCAUCGGAUGUGCCCAGAUGGGAUUAGCUAGUAGGUGGGGUAACGGCUCACCUAGGCGACGAUCCCUAGCUGGUCUGAGAGGAUGACCAGCCACACUGGAACUGAGACACGGUCCAGACUCCUACGGGAGGCAGCAGUGGGGAAUAUUGCACAAUGGGCGCAAGCCUGAUGCAGCUAUGCCGCGUGUAUGAAGAAGGCCUUCGGGUUGUAAAGUACUUUCAGCGGGGAGGAAGGGAGUAAAGUUAAUACCUUUGCUCAUUGACGUUACCCGCAGAAGAAGCACCGGCUAACUCCGUG